GGCUGGCCAGUGUACGCUGCCUCUAUCAAGUUUGUGAGCAGCAAUCGAUUUCAUACUAAUGCUAAAAUUAAGGAAUUACUACGGUUGGAGUCUGAUGAAACGAACAACCCACUGCCAAAGAAAAGGCCCUCAGUCCCGCCGUCAAGAUAUACGGAUUCAGAUGAAACUGAUGUUGAGAGUACACCGACCCAAAAGAAAAGGACAAUGAUUCCCCAAAAACAGAGAAAAGUUGCCCAAAUGGUUGUGGAUAAGUACCAAGACACAACCUUGACAGAGACUCAGAGGCAGCUAAAAGAAAUAGAGAAAGAAAACAAAAAAAUUGAGAAAUGACAACGAACAAUUGAGAAAAAUGCUCAUUCAAGGCAUGUAUUACAGUUACUUCCUGUUGUGGUGAAUCAGCUAUCAAACUGUUUGGUGGUUUAGAUUUGAUCUUAACUUGGUUUAUUUUUUAUUGUCUUUGCACUUAAGACUUUAAAUUACCAUUGAACUGCCAUUCUGUUUCAAUAUUAUUAUUUAAC